rnacentral:rRNA from 1 species
GAUGAACGCUGACGGCGUGCCUAAUACAUGCAAGUCGAGCGAACGGACGAGAAGCUUGCUUCUCUGAUGUUAGCGGCGGACGGGUGAGUAACACGUGGAUAACCUACCUAUAAGACUGGGAUAACUUCGGGAAACCGGAGCUAAUACCGGAUAAUAUUUUGAACCGCAUGGUUCAAAAGUGAAAGACGGUCUUGCUGUCACUUAUAGAUGGAUCCGCGCUGCAUUAGCUAGUUGGUAAGGUAACGGCUUACCAAGGCAACGAUGCAUAGCCGACCUGAGAGGGUGAUCGGCCACACUGGACCUGAGACACGGUCCAGACUCCUACGGGAGGCAGCAGUAGGGAAUCUUCCGCAAUGGGCGAAAGCCUGACGGAGCAACGCCGCGUGAGUGAUGAAGGUCUUCGGAUCGUAAAACUCUGUUAUUAGGGAAGAACAUAUGUGUAAGUAACUGUGCACAUCUUGACGGUACCUAAUCAGAAAGCCACGGCUAACUACGU